rnacentral:miRNA from 1 species
UUUCCUACUCCUCCCAAGCCCA